AUACAGAGGGUGCGAGCGUUAAGCGGAAUUACUGGGCGUAAAGCGCGCGUAGGCGGCUUGGUCAGUCGGAUGUGAAAGCCCCGGGCUCAACCUGGGAAUGGCAUUCGAUACUGCCAGGCUAGAGUAUGGGAGAGGGAAGUGGAAUUUCCGGUGUAGCGGUGAAAUGCGUAGAUAUCGGAAGGAACACCAGUGGCGAAGGCGACUUCCUGGCCCAAUACUGACGCUGAGGUGCGAAAGCGUGGGGAGCGAACAGGAUUAGAAACCCUAGUAGUCC
rnacentral:rRNA from 1 species